GGGGUUGUAGCUCAAUGAUAGAGCACUUGCCUUGCAUGAAUGAGGCACUGAGUUCAAUUCUCAGCACCA
rnacentral:tRNA from 1 species